UAUAAAAAUAGAGGCGCAACUGACAAGAGUAAUAUUACUUAGUUUGACAAACAGUGAGGUAAUAUAAAAGGGGAAGUUGCCGAAAUGAAAAAGAGGUCAGGCUUUUUUGUUGGUAAUUCAGAGAAUAUCUGUCUUACUGUCAUUGAGAAAUCAAUGGAGUGCUAUUUGUGAU
rfam:Fusobacterium mortiferum ATCC 9817 genomic scaffold supercont2.8, whole genome shotgun sequence.